UACGUAGGGGGCAAGCGUUGUCCGGAUUUAUUGGGCGUAAAGAGCUCGUAGGCGGUUUGUUGCGUCGGCUGUGAAAUCCCGAGGCUCAACCCCGGGCCUGCAGUCGAUACGGGCAGACUAGAGUGCGGUAGGGGAGACUGGAAUUCCUGGUGUAGCGGUGAAAUGCGCAGAUAUCAGGAGGAACACCGGUGGCGAAGGCGGGUCUCUGGGCCGUAACUGACGCUGAGGAGCGAAAGCGUGGGGAGCGAACAGG
rnacentral:rRNA from 1 species